CUGUCUGAUCAGUGGCGAACGGGUGAGUAACACGUGAGUAACCUGCCCUUGACUCUGGGAUAACCGCGGGAAACGGCGGCUAAUACCGGAUAUGAGACGUACAGGCAUCUGUUGCGUCUGGAAAGAUUUAUCGGUCAAGGAUGGGCUCGCGGCCUAUCAGCUUGUUGGUGGGGUGAUGGCCUACCAAGGCGACGACGGGUAGCCGGCCUGAGAGGGCGACCGGCCACACUGGGACUGAGACACGGCCCAGACUCCUACGGGAGGCAGCAGUGGGGAAUAUUGCACAAUGGGCGCAAGCCUGAUGCAGCGACGCCGCGUGAGGGAUGAAGGCCUUCGGGUUGUAAACCUCUUUCAGCAGGAAAGAAGCGCAAGUGACGGUACCUGCAGAAGAAGCGCCGGCUAACUACGUGCCAGCAGCCGCGGUAAUACGUAGGGCGCAAGCGUUGUCCGGAAUUAUUGGGCGUAAAGAGCUCGUAGGCGGUUUGUCGCGUCUGCUGUGAAAACCUGAGGCUCAACCUCGGGCUUGCAGUGGGUACGGGCAGACUAGAGUGCGGUAGGGGUGACUGGAAUUCCUGGUGUAGCGGUGGAAUGCGCAGAUAUCAGGAGGAACACCGAUGGCGAAGGCAGGUCACUGGGCCGCAACUGACGCUGAGGAGCGAAAGCAUGGGGAGCGAACAG
rnacentral:rRNA from 1 species